rnacentral:rRNA from 1 species
GACAGCAGUCGCCGCGGGAAUACGAAGGGUGCAAGCGUUGAUCGGAAUUACUGGGCGUAAAGCGUGCGUAGGCGGUUUGUUAAGUCUGUUGUGAAAUCCCCGAGCUUAACUUGGGAGCUGCAUUUGAAACUGGCAAGCUAGAGUCUUGUAGAGGGGGGUAGAAUUCCAGGUGUAGCGGUGAAAUGCGUAGAGAUCUGGAGGAAUACCGGUGGCGAAGGCGGCCCCCUGGACAAAGACUGACGCUCAGGUGCGAAAGCGUGGGGAGCAAACAGGAUUAGAUACCCGAGUAGUCCCUGUCUCUUAUAA